UCGGGGGUAGCUCAGCUGGCAGAGCAAUUGACUGUUAAUCAAUGGGUCGUGGGUUCGAGCCCCACCCCCCGAGCCA
rnacentral:tRNA from 1 species